rnacentral:tRNA from 1 species
GCCUGGGUGGCUCAGUUGGUUAAGUGUCCGACUUCAGCUCAGGACAUGAUCUCAUGGUUCGUGGGUUCAAGCCCCACCUCAGGCU